rnacentral:rRNA from 1 species
UACGUAGGGGGCAAGCGUUGUCCGGAAUCAUUGGGCGUAAAGAGCGCGUAGGCGGUCCGGUAAGUCCGCUGUGAAAGUCAAGGGCUCAACCCUUGAAUGCCGGUGGAUACUGUCGGGCUAGAGUGCGGAAGAGGCGAGUGGAAUUCCUGGUGUAGCGGUGAAAUGCGCAGAUAUCAGGAGGAACACCGAUUGCGAAGGCAGCUCGCUGGGACGUAACUGACGCUGAGACGCGAAAGCGUGGGGAGCAAACAGG